rnacentral:rRNA from 1 species
AGAUCAAAUUGUUGGUCGUGCCUCGGUACGUACUGGUAUAAUCGGUUUCUCUCUUCUGACGAACUAUAAUGCCAUUAAUUUGGUGUUAUAGGGAAUCAGGACUGUUACUUUGAAAAAAUUAGAGUGUUUAAAGCAGGCUCACGCUUGAAUACAUUAGCAUGGAAUAACGGAAUAGGACGUUUGAUUCUAUUUUGAUGGUUUCUAGGAUCGACGUA